ACGGCGGCAAAUUCAAAGUCUACGGGGAUUUAACAUGGUAAACUCGUCCAUUAACGUCUAGGUUACGGGGCCGGGAACCAGUUUUUGAAGGGAGUAGUCGUCCUUUGCAAAAUAAAUUUCCGAAAAAUCUUUAAAAAUUAAAGGAAUUAAUUUAAAUUGCUUUCAUUAAUAAUACAAUUUUCACUUUGAAUUAAAAUUAAUUUUAACAGCAAUUAACAAGUUUAAUUAUUAACUUCGAGAAAAUAGUCCGAAUCUAACGAAGUACAACUUGUGGAGAAUGGAUGUUGACAUGAUGAUGCAAGCUCGCCAGUGUUUAAAACCAGUAUGAAGCUUGAUUUAGACACUGCAAUAUAAGAGAGAGGCAGACCAGAAACCUUUGGCUAAAGCAAAGAUAAUAUGCAUAACAUAAGUAGUUACGUAAUUCACAAGAGUGCAAAGUUAUGAUGACCAUACAGAGACAAGAUACCACAACAAAGACAUGCAUGAAGAAGGAUGUUCACUCAAUUUUUCAGAAUAAUGUGUCAGAUUGAAAGUCAUCUUAUGUUGGACAAAACAAUCAGGAUGUUCAUCUGGAUCACAGCUAGCACAAAUUAAAGUAUUGACAAAACCAAAGAUUACCUGGUAGUCUGCAAAUGGAGUGAUCAUUGGAUGAGCCAAACAACACCAUUUUCCUCAGAAAUUUUAGGAUAGAGACUAGUCACUUGAUCUCCAUCUUCAUUCAUAGAUGACUGAUGUUGACAUUUUCUCACUUCUGUUUCAUGUCUUAACUACAACUUGGACUCAACACUUCAGCAUCAGUGGGCGCUUGACUUUUAUAAACAUUUAUUCCUCUGAAAUUCAUAUAAUAUCCUUUAAUAUAGGACAUAUAUAACAAAUUAUUUAUCUUGUAAAAUAUUUUAUUAAAUUUUAAUUAAUAAAACAAUGAAAACAGUUCAAACAAACUGGUUUAUCCUAUAAUCUAAAACUGUUUUAUGUUUGAAGUAAUUUAUAAUUUUACUGUUAAGAUACUUAAGGAUCCUCAGACAGGAAGGAUAACUCUUUAAUUUACAAUUUAAUUCAUAGUCUCAAAAUGAAGCUUGAAAUUUCAAUCUUUUCGUGCAACAAUUUUCAUUUUAUCAUGAUAAUAUUUAUAACUUCUCAAUGUCCUUUAAGGUUGUUUGAAGUUCUCAGAAAGGUCUUAUAAAAAGUCCCAAUUUUUAGUUUUAACUUAUUAAGUAAAACUAGGAUAAAUAGCAAAGUCAAAAUUUGUUUUAUCCAUAUAAGGAAUUCCUUAUAUUUCCAUAGCUGGGGAUCCAAGAAAACUUCACUAUAUCCGUGAACUUGCAAUAUCCAUGUUCGUUCUAAACAUUCAAGUUUUACUGACACAGUAAAAGUAUUUCAAAAUUACUUUGCCUAUUUUAUACAGUUAUAAUAAAAUAAUUCCAAAGUAUUUUACAAUUUUAAAAACAGUUUUCUCAAUAUUCUAGCACAAAUAAAUAAUUUUUAAAGAUUUAAGUCUGUAUUUAUUUCUUAAAUAUAAAUUUUAUUCUUAAUACAUACAAAUUAAACAGAAAUGAUUUGAAAUAAGAGGGCGAACUGGGACCGUCCCUUGACAAUAGGCCGAGACAGAGAUAGCUCGGCCCUGAGGACAAGACAGCCCUACUUCCCAUUUGCUGUCUCGCCUAGUCUAAACAGGGCUGAUACACUACUAGGUAUAUGAUAUAGGCGAAUUAGGAAUAUACAUGUUUGUGUAUUGGGAAAUUGUCAAUGAAUAAACAUACUUUGAAAAUUUACAAAAAAUUUUGUUGGGACUGAAAACCAAACUCAAGACAUCUGCAUUAU